rnacentral:rRNA from 1 species
GAUGAACGCUGGCGGCGUGCCUAAUACAUGCAAGUCGAGCGAACGGACGAGAAGCUUGCUUCUCUGAUGUUAGCGGCGGACGGGUGAGUAACACGUGGAUAACCUCCCUAUAAGACUGGGAUAACUUCGGGAAACCGGAGCUAAUACCGGAUGAUAUUUUGAACCGCAUGGUUCAAAAGUGAAAGACGGUCUUGCUGUCACUUAUAGAUGGAUCCGCGCUGCGUUAGCUAGUUGGUAAGGUAACGGCUUACCAAGGCAACGAUGCAUAGCCGACCUGAGAGGGUGAUCGGCCACACUGGAACUGAGACACGGUCCAGACUCCUACGGGAGGCAGCAGUAGGGAAUCUUCCGCAAUGGGCGAAAGCCUGACGGAGCAACGCCGCGUGAGUGAUGAAGGUCUUCGGAUCGUAAAACUCUGUUAUUAGGGAAGAACAUAUGUGUAAGUAACUGUUCACAUCUUGACGGUACCUAAUCAGAAAGCCACGGCUAACUACGUG